GUGCUCACCUUGGCAGCACAUAUACUAAAAUUGGGACGACACAGAGAAGAUUACCACGGCCCUCGCACAAGGAUGACACAUAGAUUCAUGGAGUGUUCCAUAUUAGA
rnacentral:snRNA from 1 species